rnacentral:rRNA from 1 species
AUACGGAGGAUGCGAGCGUUAUCCGGAUUUAUUGGGUUUAAAGGGUGCGUAGGCUGUGCGUUAAGUCAGGGGUGAAAUGCCGUCGCUCAACGACGGAGCUGCCCUUGAUACUGGCGUGCUGGAGUACGGAUGCCGUUGGAGGAAUGAGUGGUGUAGCGGUGAAAUGCUUAGAUAUCACUCAGAACACCGAUUGCGAAGGCACCUGACGAAUCCGUCACUGACGCUGAGGCACGAAAGCGUGGGGAUAGAACAGGAUUAGAUACCCUGGUAUUCCACGCCGUAAACGAUGAUGACUAACCGUCGGCGAUAGACAGCCGGUGGCCAAGCGAAAGCGAUAAGUCAUCCACCUGGGGAGUACGUCGGCAACGAUGAAACUCAAAUGAAUUGGCGGGG